rnacentral:piRNA from 1 species
UGAAGAUAUGCCCCUUGGGGUCUCCGGGAGU